AUGUUUUUGUUACGACAAUUUACAUUCAUCACGCUAAGGUUUUUGAUGUUUUGCGUCAGGGGCCCGAGAGCCCGAAGACGUACACAGUUCACGGUGUGUGUGGAAUAGACACGGCCAGAGGCCAAUCUCUAAUGAUCCUUCCGCAGGUUCACCUACGGAAA
rnacentral:misc_RNA from 1 species